rnacentral:rRNA from 1 species
UACGUAGGGUGCAAGCGUUGCCCGGAUUUAUUGGGCGUAAAGGGUUCGUAGGUGGCCAACUAAGUCAGACGUGAAAUCCCUCAGCUUAACUGGGGAACUGCGUCUGAGACUGGAUGGCUUGAGUGCAGGAGAGGAACGCGGAAUUCCAGGUGUAGCGGUGAAAUGCGUAGAUAUCUGGAGGAACACCGGUGGCGAAGGCGGCGUUCUGGACUGCAACUGACACUGAGGAACGAAAGCCAGGGGAGCAAACGGG